GACGAACGCUGGCGGCGUGCUUAACACAUGCAAGUCGAGCGGUAAGGCCCUUUCGGGGGUACACGAGCGGCGAACGGGUGAGUAACACGUGGGUGACCUGCCCUCAGCUCUGGGAUAAGCCUGGGAAACCGGGUCUAAUACUGGAUAUGACUCCAUGACGCAUGUUGUGGGGUGGAAAGCCUUGUGCGGCUGAGGAUGGGCCCGCGGCCUGUCAGCUUGUUGGUGGGGUGAUGGCCUACCAAGGCGACGACGGGUAGCCGGCCUGAGAGGGCGACCGGCCACACUGGGACUGAGACACGGCCCAGACUCCUACGGGAGGCAGCAGUGGGGAAUCUUGCGCAAUGGGCGAAAGCCUGACGCAGCGACGCCGCGUGAGGGAUGACGGCCU
rnacentral:rRNA from 1 species